UACGUAGGGCGCAAGCGUUGUCCGGAAUUUAUUGGGCGUAAAGAGCUCGUAGGCGGCCUGUUGCGUCCGCUGUGAAAUCCCGGGGCUACAACCCCGGGCCUGCAGUGGAUACGGGCUGGCUAGAGGCAGGCAGGGGAGAACGGAAUUCCUGGUGUAGCGGUGAAAUGCGCAGAUAUCAGGAGGAACACCGGUGGCGAAGGCGGUCUCUGGGCCUGUACUGACGCUGAGGAGCGAAAGCGUGGGGAGCGAACAGG
rnacentral:rRNA from 1 species